AAGCUGACAGCUCAAGCGGGAUUUAUUCAUCGGACAAGGAUAUACAUAUAUGGCGAAGACAUCACAGGAGUGAAAGGAAACAUAGCAACCGAAUAUGGUACAAGGGAAUCAGGAAAUCAAUGAAGGAAUCAAACAAGGAAAAAAUAUCCCUAUAUAUAUAUAUAUAUAUAUAUAUAUAGAAAAUAAAAUACCAUAAUAACUUUCACCAAAACACUUCUAUGAAAGGAUCGAAAUGGUUGCCCAGAGACAAAACUUUCACCUUCAAAUCGUAGUGUGUUCAUUGCCCUAUUGAGACUUGAGCCUUGAAUCUGAGAGGGAGGCUUAGUUUUGACUUUUGAGGAGCUUUCAGCAAUGGCGGGUGGGAGUGGAAGAGCCGUCACCGGUCAUCUGUUAACCAAGAACUUGGCUGUGUUCAUCAUCAUCCUUGUUUUUGGUAGGUGGUCUCUUGAUGAGUACAUGAUCAUGUAAUUGUCGAGAGACCACCCGGCAAGAACAAGAACGACGACCGAUACAACUGAAGCAUCUCUCAUACCCUUCUCCUUUCCUCCCACCCUCUCCGCCCCCGUGAAACACAAGCACAAUAACACGUUUGCUUUUCCUUCUUAAGUAAUGUUUUGGUUCUGCUGAUUUUUGGAAUGAUUUAACGAGUUCCCUGCUGCUGUUUGCAUUGAUAGCCCGGUGGGUAGGUGUUUCGUUGGUGCUGUUCUGGUUCGUUCAUCUUCAAACACGGACAAGGUAGAGUGUUCAGCUUUUGCAACUUCUUUGGCAAUCAUCUCAUGGGCACUCUGGGCUCUUGCAUCUGGUUUCGUAGCCAAGGAGAUCAAGCUGGGACGUCGCAGAGGAAAACACCAGGCGAGGAAAACAGUUUUUCGCCCAUUUUCUGCUUAGGAGAGGAACAUACGUGCUCUUCGGCAGAAUGCAGCAAAUUAGUGCAGAGCUAGUUAAUUCAUACGGCAAUCCUGCUUUCCGGGUUAUUUCAUACCGAGUUGGACCUUCUCGAUACAGCAGUCAAUAUGGUAGAGCCACAUCAACCACCUCAGCUCGUGAAGCUCCGAACAGAACUGAGAGCGCUCCAGCAUGAAGAUUUGCAUUUUUCUUUUCCCUGAAUGCAAAUUCCUUCAGGUAUA